AGAGUUUGAUCCUGGCUCAGGAUGAACGCUGGCGGCGUGCUUAACACAUGCAAGUCGAACGGUGAAGCCCAGCUUGCUGGGUGGAUCAGUGGCGAACGGGUGAGUAACACGUGAGCAAUCUGCCCCUGACUCUGGGAUAAGCGCUGGAAACGGCGUCUAAUACUGGAUACGAACCGUGGAGGCAUCUUCAACGGUUGGAAAGAUUUUUUGGUCAGGGAUGAGCUCGCGGCCUAUCAGCUUGUUGGUGAGGUAAUGGCUCACCAAGGCGUCGACGGGUAGCCGGCCUGAGAGGGUGACCGGCCACACUGGGACUGAGACACGGCCCAGACUCCUACGGGAGGCAGCAGUGGGGAAUAUUGCACAAUGGGCGAAAGCCUGAUGCAGCAACGCCGCGUGAGGGAUGACGGCCUUCGGGUUGUAAACCUCUUCUAGCAGGGAAGAAGCGAAAGUGACGGUACCUGCAGAAAAAGCGCCGGCUAACUACGUGCCAGCAGCCGCGGUAAUAC
rnacentral:rRNA from 1 species